GAGUUUGAUCUUGGCUCAGAUUGAACGCUGGCGGCAUGCUUUACACAUGCAAGUCGAACGCGGGUGAGGGGCAACUCUCACCUGAGUGGCGAACGGGUGAGUAAUACAUCGGAACGUGCCUCGUAGUGGGGGAUAGCUCGGCGAAAGCCGGAUUAAUACCGCAUACGAUCCACGGAUGAAAGCGGGGGACCGCAAGGCCUCGCGCUAUGAGAGCGGCCGAUGUCCGAUUAGCUUGUUGGUGAGGUAAAGGCUCACCAAGGCGACGAUCGGUAGCUGGUCUGAGAGGAUGAUCAGCCACACUGGGACUGAGACACGGCCCAGACUCCUACGGGAGGCAGCAGUGGGGAAUUUUGGACAAUGGGGGCAACCCUGAUCCAGCCAUGCCGCGUGAGUGAAGAAGGCC
rnacentral:rRNA from 1 species